UAAGGAAUAUUGGACAAUGGGCGCAAGCCUGAUCCAGCCAUGCCGCGUGAAGGAUUAAGGUCCUCUGGAUUGUAAACUUCUUUUAUAAGGGACGAAAAAAGGGAAUUCUUUCUCACUUGACGGUACCUUAUGAAUAAGCACCGGCUAACUCCGUGCCAGCAGCCGCGGUAAUACGGAGGGUGCAAGCGUUAUCCGGAUUCACUGGGUUUAAAGGGUGCGUAGGCGGGUAUUUAAGUCAGUGGUGAAAUCCUAGAGCUUAACUCUAGAACUGCCAUUGAUACUAUUUAUCUUGAAUAUUGUGGAGGUAAGCGGAAUAUGUCAUGUAACGGUGAAAUGCUUAGAUAUGACAUAGAACACCUAUUGCGAAGGCAGCUUACUACGCAUAUAUUGACGCUGAGGCACGAAAGCGUGGGGAUCAAACAGG
rnacentral:rRNA from 1 species